ACGCUAGCUACAGGCUUAACACAUGCAAGUCGAGGGGCAGCAUCAUCAAAGCUUGCUUUGAUGGAUGGCGACCGGCGCACGGGUGAGUAACACGUAUCCAACCUGCCGACAACACUGGGAUAGCCUUUCGAAAGAAAGAUUAAUACCGGAUGGCAUAGUUUUCCCGCAUGGGAUAAUUAUUAAAGAAUUUCGGUUGUCGAUGGGGAUGCGUUCCAUUAGGCAGUUGGCGGGGUAACGGCCCACCAAACCAACGAUGGAUAGGGGUUCUGAGAGGAAGGUCCCCCACAUUGGAACUGAGACACGGUCCAAACUCCUACGGGAGGCAGCAGUGAGGAAUAUUGGUCAAUGGACGAGAGUCUGAACCAGCCAAGUAGCGUGAAGGAUGACUGCCCUAUGGGUUGUAAACUUCUUUUAUACGGGAAUAAAGUGAGCCACGUGUGGCUUUUUGUAUGUACCGUAUGAAUAAGGAUCGGCUAACUCCGUGCCAGCAGCCGCGGUAAUACGGAGGAUCCGAGCGUUAUCCAGAUUUAUUGGGUUUAAAGGGAGCGUAGGCGGGUUGUUAAGUCAGUUGUGAAAGUUUGCGGCUCAACCGUAAAAUUGCAGUUGAUACUGGCGACCUUGAGUGCAACAGAGGUAGGCGGAAUUCGUGGUGUAGCGGUGAAAUGCUUAGAUAUCACGAAGAACUCCGAUUGCGAAGGCAGCUUACUGGAUUGUAACUGACGCUGAUGCUCGAAAGUGUGGGUAUCAAACAGGAUUAGAUACCCUGGUAGUCCACACAGUAAACGAUGAAUACUCGCUGUUGGCGAUAUACGGUCAGCGGCCAAGCGAAAGCAUUAAGUAUUCCACCUGGGGAGUACGCCGGCAACGGUGAAACUCAAAGGAAUUGACGGGGGCCCGCACAAGCGGAGGAACAUGUGGUUUAAUUCGAUGAUACGCGAGGAACCUUACCCGGGCUUAAAUUGCAGAUGAAUUACGGUGAAAGCCGUAAGCCGCAAGGCAUCUGUGAAGGUGCUGCAUGGUUGUCGUCAGCUCGUGCCGUGAGGUGUCGGCUUAAGUGCCAUAACGAGCGCAACCCUUGUUGUCAGUUACUAACAGGUUCCGCUGAGGACUCUGACAAGACUGCCAUCGUAAGAUGUGAGGAAGGUGGGGAUGACGUCAAAUCAGCACGGCCCUUACGUCCGGGGCUACACACGUGUUACAAUGGGGGGUACAGAGGGCCGCUACCACGCGAGUGGAUGCCAAUCCCCAAAACCUCUCUCAGUUCGGACUGGAGUCUGCAACCCGACUCCACGAAGCUGGAUUCGCUAGUAAUCGCGCAUCAGCCACGGCGCGGUGAAUACGUUCCCGGGCCUUGUACACACCGCCCGUCAAGCCAUGGGAGCCGGGGGUACCUGAAGUGCGUAACCGCGAGGAGCGCCCUAGGGUAAAACUGGUGACUGGGGCU
rnacentral:rRNA from 1 species